GCAGGAAGCUCCAUUGCAGCAACAGCUGGUUUCGCCAUUGUUGCUUCAUUUUGAACAUCUUCUUCAUGAAAAAGUUCAACUUUUGGAGUCUUAAAAAACCCGUUUGGCUUUAAUUCUUCUUGCUUUUCCAUGAGAGAUGGAGGAACCUUCUCUAUUUCCUGUUGGGGAAAAUCUUCUUUCGGUGUAGUACCUUUCAUCUUGUUUGCGGCUUUGCUGGGCUUCGUCUUU
rnacentral:misc_RNA from 1 species